rnacentral:rRNA from 1 species
UUAUUUAUUUUAUUAUAUUUAUUUUUUGUUUAUUUAAUUAUUUAAUAAAAAUAAUUUUAUUGAAUUUUGUCUUAGUAUAUUUUGUAGAAUUGAUUUUUUAAAUUAUAGUUUAUUGGUAAUGUAAUUGUUUUAUGAAAUAUUAUUUUAAAUUUUUAAAAGUAUAUUUUAUUUAUUGUACCUUUUGUAUCAGGGUUUAUCAAAAUUUUAGUAUUUAAUUUACUUGUCUCGAUUUGGGUUGAUUUAUAAAUAAUUUAUAGUUAAUGUAUCAUAAUUAUUAUUAAAUUAUUUAUGGAAAUGAAAUGKUAAUCGUUUCCCAAGAUAUCUAGUUUCUUAAGAAAAAUUUUAAUUUUUUAAAGUUAAKUGUUUUAUUUAAUUUUUUAAUUAUAAAUAUUAACUUAUUUAUUCUUUAA